rnacentral:lncRNA from 1 species
CCGCCAGAGUGGGUCAAAGUGGCAGCUCGCCGCGCUGCUCAGCCCUGGGGUCCCUCUCCCCACUCAGGCGGCCGAAGGUCAGAGUGGGAAAAACUGGCAGCCCGCCGCGCUGCUCUGCCCUGGGGGACCCACGCCCACUCAGGCGGCCGCCCACCACAGUGGGUCAAAGUGGCAGUCUGCUGCCCCGCUCAGCCCUGGGGGGGCCCCCACUCGGGCGGCCGAUGGCGCAAGUGAGUAAAGUAAAAGUGGCAGCCCGCCGCGCCGCUCAGCCACGGGGCCCCCACUCAGGCUGCAGACUGUGUAAAUGGCAGCCCCUGUGGCUGGGAAGUGCUUUGCAUCUACAGAAGCCUCUGGAACUAGGGCUAUGUUCUAUAUAUUAUACAGAAUCCAG